GCUGUCGGUUCUCCUAGGCCGACAGGGAACGCAAGGGUGGCUAGCGCACAGAGCGGCUCUGCGGACUGUUGGAAGAUAAAGACGGAAGGAGAGGGGCAGGCUCGGUGGCCUCCCCGGGUUACCCGCAAGGCGAGGCCAGAGAGCCUGGGGAGGCCGUCACCCCGUCAGGGCCGGGCUGCUCCAACAUCUCCAGGGGUCGGGUCCUCCCCCGGGGGCGCGACCUGCGAGCCCCGGACGUCCCUGCCCAGGUCCUGGUACUUACCCCCGCGGUCUCCUCAGCCGAACAUUCCAGCAAACUCCGGUCGAUGGCCUGCACCUCGGGCUCCAGCUCCGACGCCAUCUUCCUUCCUCCUCCCCAGCGCUGACGCUGCUACCGCCGCCCCGAGGGCCGCGGCCUCGCCACAGCCGCGGCCGCCGAGACCGCCACCCGUGCCUCAGGCAGUCGGUCCGGAGUUAUCCAGGCGGCCGCGGGUGGGGAAGGAGGACAGGAGCGUGAGACCAUGCGGCAAUCAAUAACUGUAAAAAUAUCAUGAUGCACAUGUGUGAGUCUAUCUGUGGGACAGAUACAUUCUCAAAGCUGGAAUUUCUCGAUUACAGGAUGUCGCUGGAAGAACAAAAGCCUCUGCCUGGUUCCAGGGGGAAUUCCUCUGGGGUUAGAGAUAGAGCCACACGGUAUCAUACAGGACGCCUGAGGUUUUUUGUGGUUGACAACUCAUAACCCUUUCAGUAAAAAAAAGAAAAAAAAAAAAAAAAA